rnacentral:rRNA from 1 species
UCCAGACUCCUACGGGAGGCAGCAGUGAGGAAUAUUGGUCAAUGGGCGCGAGCCUGAACCAGCCAAGUCGCGUGAGGGAGGACGGCCCUACGGGUUGUAAACCUCUUUUGCCGGGGAGCAACGGGCGUCACGUGUGGCGCCACUGAGAGUACCCGGAGAAAAAGCAUCGGCUAACUCCGUGCCAGCAGCCGCGGUAAUACGGAGGAUGCGAGCGUUAUCCGGAUUUAUUGGGUUUAAAGGGUGCGUAGGCUGUGAGGUAAGUCAGCGGUGAAAUGCCCCCGCUCAACGGGGUGAAGUGCCAUUGAUACUGCCUUGCUGGAAUGCGGAUGCCGUGGGAGGAAUGUGUGGUGUAGCGGUGAAAUGCAUAGAUAUCACACAGAACACCGAUUGCGAAGGCAUCUCACGAAUCCGCGAUUGACGCUGAUGCACGAAAGCGUGGGUAUCAAACAGGAUUAGAUACCCCUGUAGUA